CUUGAGCAGAAAGUGUCAGUGCAUUCUGUCUUUGCUCAGGACAUGAAUAUGUAGAAAAGGUCCACAGCGUCACAGCGAUGGCAACAAAUCUCAGGAGCUGAACAAUGAGAGCUACUAAUGACUGGAACUUGUACAGCUUGUUUCCUCCAGUAGCAGCAAGCCAGUUCACAGCCCCCUGUGAUGCUCCCAUGGAUGAUUUACAGAGCACUGGACAGAACUUUCAUAUUUAGCCAAGCCUGUGAAAACUGACCAGGAAUAAAGCUAGGAAGCAGG